GUGCGGGGGGCGCGCAUGCGCAGGCGACGCGCAGAGGGCCGAGGCAGAGCCGCGGAGCCGCCAUUACGUCCUUCUGCGUCAACGCCGCCGGUCGCGCCGCCCGCCCAGUGCCCGCCGCCGCCAUGGGAGUGCAGGUGGAGACCAUCUCCCCCGGGGACGGGCGCACCUUCCCGAAGCGCGGCCAGACCUGCGUGGUGCACUACACUGGGAUGCUUGAAGACGGAAAGAAAUUUGAUUCCUCCCGGGACAGAAACAAGCCCUUUAAGUUUAUGCUAGGCAAGCAGGAGGUGAUCCGAGGCUGGGAAGAAGGGGUUGCCCAGAUGAGUGUGGGUCAGAGAGCCAAACUGACUGUAUCUCCAGACUAUGCGUAUGGCGCUACUGGGCACCCAGGCAUCAUCCCACCACACGCUACUCUCAUCUUUGACGUGGAGCUUAUGAGACUUGAAUGACAAGAAUGGCCUCCUCCCUUCGCUCCCUGUUUUUGGAUCGGCCAUGGAGGGAUCUCGUGCCUCCAGACGUGUGCACACGAAUCCGUAUGGAGCUUCUCCUGAUGUUCCACUACACUCUGUAUAAACAUCUACCCCGACUGAA